rnacentral:rRNA from 1 species
UACGUAGGGUCCAAGCGUUAUCCGGAAUCACUGGGCGUAAAGCGUGCGUAGGUGGGUGUUUAAGUGAGAGGUUAAAUCGUGUGGCUCAACCAUAUCGAUGCUUUUCAUACUGGGCACCUAGAGGACAGCAGAGGCAAGUGGAAUUGGUAGUGUAGCAGUGAAAUGCGUAGAUAUUACCAGGAACACCAAUGGCGAAGGCAGCUUGCUGGGCUACUCCUGACACUGAGGUACGAAAGCGUGGGGAGCGAACAGG